UAUGGUUAUUAUCUUUUCAAGGUCUAUGCUGCUGAUCAUACCAUGGUUAUUGGACUUAAAUAAGAACAUAUGAAAAGAAAAAAAAAUAUUUGAUACAAAAGUUUUAUCAUUGAAUCCUGAACACCAGAAUUCUUAAACUAAAGAAAAAGGUUUGAUCAUUAUACAACAGAUCCAAAUGCAUAUAAAUGAUGACAGAAGUGAAAGGAAAGGAAG
rnacentral:lncRNA from 1 species